rnacentral:rRNA from 1 species
UGCCUCAGUAACGGCGAGUGAAGCGGCAAAAGCUCAGAUUUGAAAUCUGGCGUCUUCGGCGUCCGAGUUGUAAUCUGUAGAGGAUGCCUUUGGGUGGCCACCGGUCUAAGUCCCCUGGAACGGGGUGUCACAGAGGGUGAGAAUCCCGUAUGUGACCGGGAAGGCGCCCUAUACAUGGCUCCUUCGACGAGUCGAGUUGUUUGGGAAUGCAGCUCUAAAUGGGAGGUAAAUUCCUUCUAAAGCUAAAUACCGGCCAGAGACCGAUAGCGCACAAGUAGAGUGAUCGAAAGAUGAAAAGCACUUUGGAAAGAGAGUUAAAAAGCACGUGAAAUUGUUGAAAGGGAAGCGCUUGCAACCAGACUUGUUGGCGGUGUUCCGCCGGUCUUCUGACCGGUCUACUCACCGUCUGCAGGCCAGCAUCAUCUGGGGCCGCUGGAUAAAAGCGGAGGGAAUGUGGCUCCUCCGGGAGUGUUAUAGCCCUCUGUGUAAUACAGCGAGUCCCGGGUGAGGUCCGCGCUUCGGCUAGGAUGCUGGCGUAAUGGUCGUAAGCGGCCCGUCUUGAAACACGGACCAAGGAGUCUAACAUCUAUGCGAGUGUUCGGGUGUCAAACCCCUACGCGUAAUGAAAGUGAACGGAGGUGGGAACCUUUUAGGUGCACCAUCGACCGAUCCUGAUGUCUUCGGAUGGAUUUGAGUAAGAGCAUAGCUGUUGGGACCCGAAAGAUGGUGAACUAUGCCUGGAUAGGGUGAAGCCAGAGGAAACUCUGGUGGAGGCUCGCAGCGGUUCUGACGUGCAAAUCGAUCGUCAAAUUUGGGUAUAGGGGCGAAAGACUAAUCGAACCAUCUAGUAGCU